CCCUUAGAUGUCCGGGGCCGCACGCGCGCUACACUGAAGGGAUCAGCGUGUUCUUUUCCUGGUCCGAAAGGAUCGGGUAACCCGCUGAACCCCCUUCGUGGUAGGGAUCGGAGCUUGCAAUUAUUCUCCGUGAACCAGGAAUUCCCAGUAAGCGCAAGUCAUAAGCUUGCGUUGAUUACGUCCCUGCCCUUUGUACACACCGCCCGUCGCUACUACCGAUUGGACGUUUUAGUGAGGAUUUUGGACUGAGCCAAUGGUGGUUCACACCACUGUUGUGCAUGGAAAGAUCUCCAAACUUGAGCGUUUAGAGGAAGUAAAAGUCGUAACA
rnacentral:rRNA from 1 species